CGCGGCGGCGCGGUCCCACGUGGCUGGCGUCGGGGGGGCCCGCGGCGGCGCGGCGCGGCGAGGCGCGGCCCGGGAGCGCCCGCGCAAGGCCGGGUCGCGGCUGGCCCUGUGGGGUGGCCGUGGUGGGCUGUGGGCCCCAGGCAGGCACCGAGGCCCUCUGGAGGGUCGUGCUGCAGCCCACAGGUGGGCCGUGGGCUGGAGGUGGCCGGGGCGCUGCACCCUCUCAGCAGGUGUGCCCGGGCAUCGCUGCGUGGCCUUCUCAGUACCGCGGCCACGUGCACAGCCCUCUGUGUAGCCCCACGGUGCUUUUACUGGGAUAAGCCCUGCUGGGAGACUGCCUCUUUAUUUUAGUUAUUUAUUUAUUUUUUAAAACUUACUGAAAUAAAGGUACCGGCACGGGGGACCUGGCAGAGAGAUGGUGAUCAGGACAGUGGUUUUCCCUGAGUGAGGUUAUCCAUUGUGUAGCAGCUGUGCUGACAUCUGUGACUGCCCCAAAUGCAGGAAACUUGAUUGCAUUAUUUACAGUAGUAGGAAACCGUGUGCUGAAAGAAAGAACCAAAAAAGAGAUGCCCAAAGAAGAGUAGAGCACACAUUUAUGAUACUUCCUCUAAAGAGUCUCUUAGCUUUAACCAUUUUCAGUGCAGGAAUUUCCUGAGCUGUAUGUGGUUGCUGUGCAUCUAGCAGCCCUCAGUGGAUUUGGGAGCUUUUUGGAACUUCCCUGGACACCUGAAUUCAGCAAAAACUACUUCCUCCAAAGUGCAUAGAUGGGUAUGUAAAUCAUUCCCCUUCUGACCUAAUGAUGAGGAAAUUGCAUUCUCCUUGCUGUCCUGUGAGAUGGUACAGCCGAAGCUGGUACCCCAAGCUGCAGGCCUGAGCAGAAGCGAAUACGGUGUUGGUGAAAGGUCCUGGCCUGACAACCCUGGAAACUGAGCCCUGUGUAAACCCUCAACAUAGAGAGCAGAAGAUUCUAGCUGCAAGCUGUUCUUCUCAUCCUGUUUCAAUGAUGGAAGAGGAAAUGGAGUUUAUACAAAACCUAGCCCAACCCCCAGAAACAUCUUGCUUUGUUUAUGUUUCAAGCUAAGCCUGCAGCUCCUGCUAUUUGGAAGAGCUAUCCAGACAUUUCUCCAUCUGACUGACUUUACAUCUAUUCUUUGAUCUCAUCAAGAAAUCUGGCUUUUAGCUCCUGCGUGUGAUGUUCCACUUUUCUCUCUCUCUCUGCUCUCCAGUGUUUGAAAGAUCCAUGUAUAACAUGAUUAUGCAACCAUGCAAA